GACGAACGCUGGCGGCGUGCUUAACACAUGCAAGUCGUACGGAAAGGCCUCGCUUGCGGGGUGCUCGAGUGGCGAACGGGUGAGUAACACGUGGGUGAUCUGCCCUGCACUUUGGGAUAAGCCUGGGAAACUGGGUCUAAUACCGGAUAGGACUGCGGCCUGCAUGGGUUGUGGUGGAAAGUUCCCUUUUUGGGGGGCGGUGUGGGAUGGGCCCGCGGCCUAUCAGCUUGUUGGUGGGGUGAUGGCCUACCAAGGCUGCGACGGGUAGCCGGCCUGA
rnacentral:rRNA from 1 species